rnacentral:rRNA from 1 species
GCUCAGAGCGAACGCUGGCGGCAGGCUUAACACAUGCAAGUCGAGCGGGCGUAGCAAUACGUCAGCGGCAGACGGGUGAGUAACGCGUGGGAACGUACCUUUUGGUUCGGAAUAGCUCAGGGAAACUUGGAUUAAUACCGAAUAAGCCCUUACGGGGAAAGAUUUAUCGCCGAAAGAUCGGCCCGCGUCUGAUUAGCUAGUUGGUGAGGUAACGGCUCACCAAGGCGACGAUCAGUAGCUGGUCUGAGAGGAUGAUCAGCCACAUUGGGACUGAGACACGGCCCAAACUCCUACGGGAGGCAGCAGUGGGGAAUAUUGGACAAUGGGCGCAAGCCUGAUCCAGCCAUGCCGCGUGAGUGAUGAAGGCCCUAGGGUUGUAAAGCUCUUUUGUGCGGGAAGAUAAUGACGGUACCGCAAGAAUAAGCCCCGGCUAACUUCGUGCCAGCAGCCGCGGUAAUACGAAGGGGGCUAGCGUUGCUCGGAAUCACUGGGCGUAAAGGGUGCGUAGGCGGGUCUUUAAGUCAGGGGUGAAAUCCUGGAGCUCAACUCCAGAACUGCCUUUGAUACUGAGGAUCUUGAGUUCGGGAGAGGUGAGUGGAACUGCGAGUGUAGAGGUGAAAUUCGUAGAUAUUCGCAAGAACACCAGUGGCGAAGGCGGCUCACUGGCCCGAUA